rnacentral:rRNA from 1 species
AAGCUCGUAGUUGAAUUUCGGAAAUAUGUAAACGAGUCCACCUUAACUGGUGGUACUUGAGUAAUUUUUCCUAUCUUCUAGAUGCCAGUGCACUUUGUGCGCUGUAUUUUCUAGGACUUUUACUGUGAAUAAAUUAGAGUGUUCAAAGCAGGCAUUGCGCUUGAGUACAUUAGCAUGGAAUAAUAAAACAGGACUUUGGUUUUAUUUUGUUGGUUUUAACGACCAAGGUAAUGAUUAAUAGGGAUAGUUGAG